GGUUUAGGAGUCUUAUUCCAAGUUAUAUCAGAGAUUCUUCUGUUGCAGUAAUAGUCUAUGAUGUAGCUAAUAGGCAAUCGUUUUUGAAUACUUCUAAGUGGGUUGAGGAGGUACGUACGGAACGAGGCAGCGAUGUCAUUAUUGUCCUUGUUGGCAACAAAACCGAUCUAGUUGAUAAGAGGCAGGUUUCUAUAGAGGAAGGAUAACAAAGCUAAGGAACU